rnacentral:misc_RNA from 1 species
UCCGGCUUAUCACCGGCAGUUUUCUCAGAGUUCUCAGCUUGACCUGUUAGCAACAGAGAAUGAGGGUUGCGCUCGUUGCGGGACUUAACCCAACAUCUCACGACACGAGCUGACGACAGCCAUGCACCACCUGUGAACCUGCCCCGAAGGGAAACCCUGUUUCCAGGGCGGUCAGGCACAUGUCAAGCCCAGGUAAGGUUCUUCGCGUUGCGUCGAAUUAAACCACAUGCUCCGCUGCUUGUGCGGGUCCCCGUCAAUUCCUUUGAGUUUUAGCCUUGCGGCCGUACUCCCCAGGCGGGCCACUUAAUGCGUUAGCUUCGAUACUGAAGGGCAAGUUCCCCCCAACAUCCAGUUCGCAUCGUUUAGGGCGUGGACUAC